rnacentral:rRNA from 1 species
GUGUCAGCCGCCGCGGUAAUACGGAGGUGGCAAGCGUUGUUCGGAAUUACUGGGCGUAAAGGGCGCGUAGGCGGUUUGGCAAGUCAGAUGUGAAAUCCCCGGGCUUAACUCGGGAAUUGCAUCUGAAACUGCUUUUCUUGAGUCCUGGAGGGGGUAGUGGAAUUCCCAGUGUAGCGGUGAAAUGCGUAGAUAUUGGGAGGAACACCUGUGGCGAAGGCGGCUACCUGGACAGUGACUGACGCUGAGGCGCGAAAGCUAGGGGAGCGAACGGGAUUAGAUACCCCGGUAGUCCUAGCCGUAAACGAUGGGCACUUGGUGUUGGGGGUAUUGAGUCCCCCGGUGCCGGAGUUAACACGUUAAGUGCCCCGCCUGGGGAGUACGGUCGCAAGACUGAA